rnacentral:rRNA from 1 species
AUUGAACGCUGGCGGCAUGCCUUACACAUGCAAGUCGAACGGCAGCGCGGGGGCAACCUGGCGGCGAGUGGCGAACGGGUGAGUAAUAUAUCGGAACAUACCCUAGAGUGGGGGAUAACGUAGCGAAAGUUACGCUAAUACCGCCAUACGCACUAAGGUGGAAAGUGGGGGAUUCGCAAGAACCUCAUGCUCAUGGAGUGGCCGAUAUCUGAUUAGCUAGUUGGUGAGGUAAAGGCUCACCAAGGCGACGAUCAGUAGCUGGUUUGAGAGAACGACCAGCCACACUGGAACUGAGACACGGUCCAGACUCCUACGGAGGCAGCAGUGGGGAAUUUUGGGACAAUGGGGGCAACCCUGAUCCAGCAAUGCCGCGUGAGUGAAGAAGGCCUUCGGGUUGGUUAAAGAC